GAAAGAUUGAUUUCGUGAAAACGGAAGCUUCAUUGCCCAUUCGAAACCCAAUCACCCAACCACACUGGAUCUACUGUUCCUACAGUUGGCUCAGUCAAAGAAACCGUUUGACCUGAAUGUCUGACCCAAUGACCAGUGGAUUGACUGAAUUCCCAGCCCUCCGCUCUGCUCUGCCCAUGCGUGUCCGCGCGCUUUGUUUGCUAGCUGGCUGGCAGUUUCUGCAUAGAGAACACACAGCAUAUGCCAGGUGGCCAUGUGUCUGAAGCAGACAGAAGAGAACAAAGCAAAAGGGGGAGAAAAAAAAUAAAAAGAUUUCAUUUGGACAGGGAUGCUUUCAGCCCUCGGAACCGCCUGUACGGGAGAAGAGCAGAGAAGGCAAUGCCACUUGAAUAUACUCAACAGUAAACAACAUCAAACCUGAGAUUCACAUCACAAAUCUCCCUCUGCUGCUGCUGACAGGCUCAGCAUGCACGUGGUGGCAGGAGACAAAGAAAUCUGCUCUGUGAGGCAAAUACUGGAGAAACACCUCAUCCGACUGAGCGCCUCCUCAGUUUUAGGAUCUGUUCCGUAAUAACCCUGCGUUCCUAGGGUCAGACACCUGUUUUGUUAAAGGAGAGCACUCGGCGAAUGAAAUCAGAACUUGCUUUGUGUCUUUCCUGUUCUUUUAGUAUAUAAUGCGCUGCUCGCGCUCCCUUAGCUCACAAAGCUACUGAACACAGGGGUCAGAUGCUAACGCCAUCUCAGAAGUAUUAGAAACUAUUAAAUAUCAUUCGAUACAGAAGUCAGAAGAUGUGGGCUCUUUGAAGAGAAAUGGAUUCUUUAUCUUAUAAAUAUGCUGUAGUUUAUGAUUAAGGAUAAACACAUUUACCUCUCUGCAGUUAUUACGUAGACGCUGCUAUAGGAUAGAUGGCAAACUACCCCACUUCCAGUACUACUGAUUUUCCCCCUAUAGUACCAUUAAGAUGAAAACUGGCAUUCAGAGCUGUUAGUUGACCAGUCCAAGGUCACAUCACUGUUAAGAGAAACUUCAAGCCAAGGUUUCCUGAUUCUAAAGCCUGUGCUAAUAACAUCACAGAUGCCUCUGUUUAUCGAUAAGCUAGUUCGCAGGAGAUUCUCCAGAGUAGUGUGUACCUCUUCCGCAAACUGUGCUAUUUGUCUAAUUGGAUGCAGGUGUUC
rnacentral:lncRNA from 1 species